rnacentral:rRNA from 1 species
CGGCCGCGGUAUCCUGACCGUGCAAAGGUAGCAUAAUCAUUUGUUCCUUAAUUAGGGACUUGUAUGAAUGGCCACACGAGGGUUUAACUGUCUCUUACUUUUUAUCAGUGAAAUUGACCUCCCCGUGAAGAGGCGGGGAUAUAACAAUAAGACGAGAAGACCCUAUGGAGCUUAAAUUGACCUGCCCUGGGCAACAAAUUUUGGUUGGGGUGACCUCGGAGUAUAACUCAACCUCCGAACUAAGACCUACAUGUCAAAGUCAAUCUUAUUGAUCAACGGACCAAGUUACCCUAGGGAUAACAGCGCAAUCCCAUUUAAGAGUUCAUAUCGCCAAUGGGGUUUACGACCUCGAUGUUGGAUCAGGACACCCAAAUGGUGCAGCAGCU